rnacentral:rRNA from 1 species
AUUGAACGCUGGCGGCAUGCCUUACACAUGCAAGUCGAACGGUAACGCGGGGCAACCUGGCGACGAGUGGCGAACGGGUGAGUAAUGUAUCGGAACGUGCCCAGUUGUGGGGGAUAACUGCUCGAAAGAGCAGCUAAUACCGCAUACGACCUGAGGGUGAAAGCGGGGGAUCGCAAGACCUCGCGCAAUUGGAGCGGCCGAUAUCAGAUUAGGUAGUUGGUGGGGUAAAGGCUCACCAAGCCGACGAUCUGUGGCUGGUCUGAGAGGACGACCAGCCACACUGGGACUGAGACACGGCCCAGACUCCUACGGGAGGCAGCAGUGGGGAAUUUUGGACAAUGGACGCAAGUCUGAUCCAGCCAUGCCGCGUGCGGGAAGAAGGCCUUCGGGUUGUAAACCGCUUUUGUCAGGGAAGAAACGCUCUGGGUUAAUACCUCGGGGUAGUGACGGUACCUGAAGAAUAAGCACCGGCUAACUACGUGCCAGCCGCCGCCGUAA